GUUCCUGACAUAGGGGAAAGCCAAGUAUAGAAUACUCCACCCAGAAAAGUUAUCCUCUGAGCUGGCGUGAGACUGCUCUUGUUGGUAUUUAGCAAGCAGCCAAACUUCAGGUGUUCUGAAAGAACUAUAUCCCUCUGUGCACCUGCCUUCUGUGGGUCUGAGGCUGCCAGUAGUAGAUCAUCCAGAUAAUGGUACCAGGUGGUGUCACUAUAAGCACACAUAAGAUUCUUGGGGCUGUAGUGAGGCCAAAUGGUAGGGCUCUAAAUUGGAAGUUCUCAUCUGAGAUAAUGCUGAAGAUCUAGGACUAUUGGAAUAAUAGUAAGCAUCCUUGAGUUAAAUAGAG